GAGUGGUUUGUGGAGUCCCUGCAACAGCAGGUGCAGGUGAAGCGUCGGACCUGGCUGUACAACAAUGGGCAGAACCAGCAGGUGGGCGGCUUUGUCAAGGAGUUCUCCAACAUUGCCUUUCUCACUGUCAAGGGAGCGGGACACAUGGUCCCCACAGACAAGCCCAUUGCUGCCUUCACAAUGUUCAGCCGUUUCCUGAAAAAGCAGCCCUAUUAACGAGGGACCUGACCCCUGCCAGCCGGGAACGAGAGACACCCAGCCACCCGGCCGGCACACCCCUCCUUCAGGGCACCUUUCCACAGCACCUGCCCACAGCACCUGCCUUUUCUUCAUUCGGAAUCCAUCUAGUCCUCUGUCGGUGUCAUAGAACAGAAAUCUUCUUUGCUACAUUGUAAUUCACACAAGCUGACUCGGUGACCGUUUUUUCAGUUGUUGAAUGGGAAGCAUGUGACAAGCAUUGCAGAAAACGUUCCAAACAACUUGCACUGUGUAGGCUUCAGGGUCCCUACUUCUACCCAUUGCAUGUGAUGUUUCUGUGCCAUCUUGUAACCAGUUCAGCAGUAUUAAAGGCUGCCUUUAUAAAGAGGGACCACUUCGUGUUGGUUUGAGUCCCCUUGCUUUGCUGGUUAGCUGCUUUUUAAGGCAAACCUGUGAUCUAUAAUCAGUGUUUCAGCUACAUCAACCCAGAAAUUUUUGUAGGUCUCAUUUCUUUAUGUUCUUAUCAAAUCACUGUGUUGAUAAUGAGUGUGACUGCCGAAGCGUUGAUGCCUGUGGGAGUGUGUAGCAACUCGGGAAGCGUGUGGCACUGUAACCCGAGAACCAUUUGAAAUCUGUUUAUUUCCACUGAAUGACUGCGAGAUCAGCGUAUAAUAGGGGUUGAAUCCCUCUUUUCAGUUCUAAUAAAGAUAACAAGCUGUGCAUUAUUUUUUUAAUGAGAUGUUUUGUCUUUUGCUCUGAUUUGUUUUGCUCAGGGAUGGGAUGUGUCUGACCUUUUUUCCUUCUGUUUAAAUUUGUUUUUGAUUAAAUAUUUUCAUCUCCCUCCAA